GACGCACUCUGGCGGCGUGCCUAAUACAUGCAAGUAGAACGCUGAAGAGAGGAGCUUGCUCUUCUUGGAUGAGUUGCGAACGGGUGAGUAACGCGUAGGUAACCUGCCUUGUAGCGGGGGAUAACUAUUGGAAACGAUAGCUAAUACCGCAUAACAAUGGAUGACACAUGUCAUUUAUUUGAAAGGGGCAAUUGCUCCACUACAAGAUGGACCUGCGUUGUAUUAGCUAGUAGGUGAGGUAACGGCUCACCUAGGCGACGAUACAUAGCCGACCUGAGAGGGUGAUCGGCCACACUGGGACUGAGACACGGCCCAGACUCCUACGGGAGGCAGCAGUAGGGAAUCUUCGGCAAUGGGGGCAACCCUGACCGAGCAACGCCGCGUGAGUGAAGAAGGUUUUCGGAUCGUAAAGCUCUGUUGUAAGUCAAGAACGAGUGUGAGAGUGGAAAAUUCACACUGUGACGGUAGCUUACCAGAAAGGGACGGCUAACUACGUGCCAGCAGCCGCGGUAAUACGUAGGUCCCGAGCGUUGUCCGGAUUUAUUGGGCGUAAAGCGAGCGCAGGCGGUUUGAUAAGUCUGAAGUUAAAGGCUGUGGCUCAACCAUAGUUCGCUUUGGAAACUGUCAAACUUGAGUGCAGAAGGGGAGAGUGGAAUUCCAUGUGUAGCGGUGAAAUGCGUAGAUAUAUGGAGGAACACCGGUGGCGAAAGCGGCUCUCUGGUCUGUAACUGACGCUGAGGCUCGAAAGCGUGGGGAGCGAACAGGAUUAGAUACCCUGGUAGUCCACGCCGUAAACGAUGAGUGCUAGGUGUUGGAUCCUUUCCGGGAUUCAGUGCCGCAGCUAACGCAUUAAGCACUCCGCCUGGGGAGUACGACCGCAAGGUUGAAACUCAAAGGAAUUGACGGGGGCCCGCACAAGCGGUGGAGCAUGUGGUUUAAUUCGAAGCAACGCGAAGAACCUUACCAGGUCUUGACAUCCCGAUGCUAUUUCUAGAGAUAGAAAGUUACUUCGGUACAUCGGUGACAGGUGGUGCAUGGUUGUCGUCAGCUCGUGUCGUGAGAUGUUGGGUUAAGUCCCGCAACGAGCGCAACCCCUAUUGUUAGUUGCCAUCAUUCAGUUGGGCACUCUAGCGAGACUGCCGGUAAUAAACCGGAGGAAGGUGGGGAUGACGUCAAAUCAUCAUGCCCCUUAUGACCUGGGCUACACACGUGCUACAAUGGUUGGUACAACGAGUUGCGAGUCGGUGACGGCAAGCUAAUCUCUUAAAGCCAAUCUCAGUUCGGAUUGUAGGCUGCAACUCGCCUACAUGAAGUCGGAAUCGCUAGUAAUCGCGGAUCAGCACGCCGCGGUGAAUACGUUCCCGGGCCU
rnacentral:rRNA from 1 species